rnacentral:rRNA from 1 species
AGGACGAACGCUGGCGGCGUGCCUAACACAUGCAAGUCGAGCGGGGUCCAUCCGGUAGCAAUACCGGGGAAGACCUAGCGGCGAACGGGUGAGUAACACGUGAGAAACCUGCCCCGAAGUCUGGGAUAACCCGAGGAAACUCGAGCUAAUACCGGAUGUCUUCUUCUGAUCGCAUGGUCGGAUGAAGAAAGAUUUAUCGCUUCGGGAGGGUCUCGCGGCCUAUCAGCUAGUUGCGGGUAACGGCCCACCAGGGCGUCGACGGGUAGCUGGUCUGAGAGGACGAUCAGCCACACUGGGACUGAGACACGGCCCAGACUCCUACGGGAGGCAGCAGUGGGGAAUAUUGCGCAAUGGGCGAAAGCCUGACGCAGCAACGCCGCGUGCGGGAUGAAGGCCUUCGGGUUGUAAACCGCUUUCAGUGGGGACGAAUUCAGACGGUACCCACAGAAGAAGCCCCGGCCAACUACGUG